ACAAGAAUCCGCACUUUUAGCGUCUGAAUUUACCAUCCGGCCCAAUCAGACGCAAAUUAGCGUCCGUUUUUGUAAAAUUAGCAUCCGUUUUGAAACGAACGCUAAUUAGCGUCCGUCUUUGUAAAUUAGCGUCCGUCUUUGGAGCGGACGCUAAUUAACGUCCGUCCUUCAAGUUUACCGUCUAACAUGGCGGACGGUAUUUAAUGGUCAUAAAGAAAAACACGACCCACCUUAUUUCCAACCCUAUCUCUCACCUCACAUCACGAUUCACAACCGUCCUCUUUCUUCUUCUUCUUUCUCGCUCUUCCUUUCUAUUUUUUUUCUCUCUCACCGUCGACGGUAUUCAAUGGCGAUCUUCUUGCUGUCUUUGCUCAGUACGAAAUUAUUAGCUUUCAUUUGUUUCAAAUUUUUUAGUUAAUUUAUAUGUUUCGUCAAAUUUUCAAUUCGUUAGUAAUUUUGUGUUUUUUGAUUGAAUUCUUUGCAGAUAUGGCGAAAUGGUGGAAUGUUAAUCUUGUUAGAGAAAGUCCAAAGGUUUUGCGUUUGUGGCGUAUGAGGAUCAAAGAAGUACAACUCUAGCCCGCACUUUCUCUGAUUUGAAGGAGGUUCGAUCGAUUUCUGAGCCAAUCACCGUCGCAGCUACAGAUGAUAACAACAGCAACAGCAUGAGAGGCUUACUAUCAGGAUGGGGACUUUCUCUUAAAGGAAGGUCAUGUGACAGCUACCAUGCUGCAGCCGCUCUGCUUUACCGCAAGGCCGACGCAGCAUUCUUAUGCAGUCCAUGCUGUCACAAGAGCAGAUAAGAUCACUUUCUCAAAUGGCAAGUUCAAUUGCAGCUUGCUUGAUUAGGAUGUUCUGCAGAGAUAGUGUUUUUUUUAGUUUUACCCUUUUGUUUUUUUUUUUUUUUGUUUUGAGUGGGUGAGUCGGGUCGUGUGGGUGAUGGGGGCUGGGUCGUUGGUUGUGUUAGGGUUUGGGUGGGGUGGGUGGUGGGUUAGGCGGGCCCAGUGGGGGUUGGGGCAAAAUAGGUUCCAGAUUUAUUUAGUUAUUCAUUUAAUUCUUGUUAAUAAUUGUUUUUUUUCUGGUUAAUUUCAUUAAUUUCUUUGUUUUUGUUGAUUUGCAGGGUUAUGAGAUUUGCGUUUGAGUUCCAGAUUUGAAGUUGGUUUCGAUCCCGAUACCAGAUUUGAAGUCCGUUUUGGUUCUAGAUUUUUGUUGUGUAGUUUAAAGUGUACAUGUAAUUAUAUGAAAUUUUUAUUAGAUUUUGUUCUAAGUAUACUAGAAUUUAGUUCUAGAAUUAUUUUUUCACUUGUAUCUACAUUUAUUAUCAAUAAUAAUUGAAUUGAUUAA